AGCUUGGAAAAAGCAUGUCUCAAGACAGCUAAGAAUAUCAGUUCGUCAGAUUGAUGUGAAUGAAGCGAACGCCAAGGGUUUAUGCUACAGCAACUCACAUACCAUUGAAAACCAUUCAUAUUCACAAAUACAGAAAGGAGAUGUAAACCACAAUUCUUCAAAGGAACAAAGCAAACUCCCACUACGACCUAGCGAAGACACGCAUUGAUUUCCUGCCAGUGACAUUUAGAGAGGCUUGAUGAUAGGUUGCAUUACUGUAGUUACGUUGGCAUCAUAUUCCCCUAAUGAUAGCUUUCAAAUAGAGUUAGGAACUGGUCAUUAUUUACGGCGGGGAUGGCACCGAAUAGAAAAGGGUUGGGUAAACAAAAUUUUGAGCGAGUUAAGGCCAUGGUGCAAUUUUUUUUUGCAACUUGCAAUGCAAUUCUACUCUUGAGAGAUGUUAAUUAGCGAAAUCUGUGAAGAAUUUUCGAUAUGUUGAGAAAACAUCAGCGGAGUGUAAUGAAGACUCGUAUUUGGUAAUUUUACAUCUCUCAAGAGCAGAAUUACAUUGCAAGUUGCAAGAAAAAUUGCACCGUGUAACAUGGCCUUUAAAGGUUGGGUAAAUGAAAAACAAAACAACUCAAGGGUUGGGUAAUAAAAAUUUAUUGUCAUUUCCAAAGCAUGACUCACUCAAAUAUCGAAGACUAAAAAGCAAUGUCAACAGUCAUAUAUCAACACAAUAUGUAAAUCAAUCGGAGCCACCAUCUUCAUUUUCCGAUUUGUCAAGAGGCAAAUGGUGUCUCCAAAGAAAGCACAUGUUCAGAGUACAAACAGCAUAGACUGCAGAAAAUUGCGCAAGCAGUUAUCAAACUCAUAUCACAGAAGUGGUAAAGGACAUGUGUGACAACUGAAUGGUAUCCUGCUGUAAUGUUUUUGGCCAGGGGUGGCUAUUCAAUUUUUAAAUUGAUAUUUGAGGUUGGGUAAAAAAAUAUUCGACUUUGGUUGGAUCAGCCAAAUUUUUACCAAGAAAAACAUUUCUCUUCGGUGCCAAUCCUUGCCAUGGAUAAUGACAGGUGGCUUAUUAGUUAUUAGGCUAGCUUUGGGCAGGGAGUUUUUUUGCCUAUCGCUGUUGUGGUCAAUUGAACUGAAUGUAUUUACAGUAAAAUCCCAUGUUUAAAUGUGGA